rnacentral:sRNA from 1 species
UGUUUUCUGACCACGGGAAAUAUGUUGAAUCUUUCCGGAGGUUUCUCAACCAUUCCACGGAACACCAGUGCAUGCAGGAAUUCAUGGACAAGAAGCUGCCAGGCAUAAUAGCAAGGAUUGGAGACACAAAAUCAGAAAUUAAGAUUCUAAGCAUAGGCGGAGGUGCAGGCAAGAGGAUUAUAUACAUCUUUUUGUUGGCCGGACGUGGUUACUCACGCCUGUAAUCCCAGCACUUUGGGAGGCCAAGGUAGGCAGAUCACUUGAGGUCAAGAGUUCGAGACCAGCCUGGCCAAUAUGGUGAAACCCCGUCUCUACUAAAAAUAUGAAAAUUAGCCUGGC